ensembl:lncRNA
GGAAAUAUGAAUGGAGGUCAGCGGGAGAAACAAGGUGCUCAGCUCUACACUGCCGAACGGAAAUGGUCUGAAACUCUAGAGGAACUGGGUGUGAAAUAAGUGCUGUAAUCUCAUCAGAAAAUGCUGCUUCCGGUGGUAUUUUCAACCCAGGAACAGAAGCAAGUGUCCGGAAUCACUGGAGAAAGCCCCAGGUCUCCCGAGAGCCCAUCGCGACUUUUUGUUGGCUGGGAGCACGCAUCAGUGAUCAGGCAGUUAAGGCGGC